AGUGAACGCUGGCGGUAGGCCUAACAUAUGCAAGUCGAACGGCAGCACAGUAAGAGCUUGCUCUUACGGGUGGCGAGUGGCGGACGGGUGAGGAAUACAUCGGAAUCUACUUUUUCGUGGGGGAUAACGUAGGGAAACUUACGCUAAUACCGCAUACGACCUACGGGUGAAAGCAGGGGAUCUUCGGACCUUGCGCGAUUGAAUGAGCCGAUGUCGGAUUAGCUAGUUGGCGGGGUAAAGGCCCACCAAGGCGACGAUCCGUAGCUGGUCUGAGAGGAUGAUCAGCCAUACUGGAACUGAGACACGGUCCAGACUCCUACGGGAGGCAGCAGUGGGGAAUAUUGGACAAUGGGCGCAAGCCUGAUCCAGCCAUACCGCGUGGGUGAAGAAGGCCUUCGGGUUGUAAAGCCCUUUUGUUGGGAAAGAAAAGCAGCAGGUUAAUACCCCGCUGUUCUGACGGUACCCAAAGAAUAAGCACCGGCUAACUUCGUG
rnacentral:rRNA from 1 species